rnacentral:rRNA from 1 species
GACGUAGGAGGCGAGCGUUGUCCGGAUUCAUUGGGCGUAAAGAGCGCGCAGGCGGCUUGGUAAGUCGGAUGUGAAAUCCCGAGGCUCAACCUCGGGUCUGCAUCCGAUACUGCCCGGCUAGAGGUAGGUAGGGGAGAUCGGAAUUCCUGGUGUAGCGGUGAAAUGCGCAGAUAUCAGGAGGAACACCGGUGGCGAAGGCGGAUCUCUGGGCCGAUACUGACGCUGAGGAGCGAAAGCGUGGGGAGCAAACAGG